GAUGAACGCUAGCUACAGGCUUAACACAUGCAAGUCGAGGGGUAACGAGAGGAAAGCUUGCUUUCCUUGUCGACGACCGGCGCACGGGUGAGUAACGCGUAUCCAACCUGCCCCCAACUAAGGAAUAACCUUGCGAAAGUAAGACUAAUACCUUAUAAUUUCCUCAGAUGUCAUCUGACGAGGAAUAAAGAUUUAUCGGUUGUGGUUGGGGAGGCGUCUGAUUAGCUUGUUGGCGGGGUAACGGCCCACCAAGGCAACGAUCAGUAGGGGUUCUGAGAGGAAGGUCCCCCACAUUGGAACUGAGACACGGUCCAAACUCCUACGGGAGGCAGCAGUGAGGAAUAUUGGUCAAUGGGCGAAAGCCUGAACCAGCCAAGUAGCGUGCAGGAUGACGGCCCUAUGGGUUGUAAACUGCUUUUAUACAGGAAUAAAGUUAGCCACGUGUGGUUAUUUGUAGGUACUGUAUGAAUAAGGACCGGCUAAUUCCGUGCCAGCCGCCGCAGUAA
rnacentral:rRNA from 1 species